CAAGUCGAACGGUAACAGGAAACAGCUUGCUGUUUCGCCGACGAGUGGCGGACGGGUGAGUAAUGUCUGGGAAACUGCCUGAUGGAGGGGGAUAACUACUGGAAACGGUAGCUAAUACCGCAUAACGUCGCAAGACCAAAGAGGGGGACCUUAGGGCCUCUUGCCAUCGGAUGUGCCCAGAUGGGAUUAGCUAGUAGGUGGGGUAAAGGCUCACCUAGGCGACGAUCCCUAGCUGGUCUGAGAGGAUGACCAGCCACACUGGAACUGAGACACGGUCCAGACUCCUACGGGAGGCAGCAGUGGGGAAUAUUGCACAAUGGGCGCAAGCCUGAUGCAGCCAUGCCGCGUGUAUGAAGAAGGCCUUCGGGUUGUAAAGUACUUUCAGCGGGGAGGAAGGGAGUAAAGUUAAUACCUUUGCUCAUUGACGUUACCCGCAGAAGAAGCACCGGCUAACUCCGUGCCAGCAGCCGCGGUAAUACGGAGGGUGCAAGCGUUAAUCGGAAUUACUGGGCGUAAAGCGCACGCAGGCGGUUUGUUAAGUCAGAUGUGAAAUCCCCGGGCUCAACCUGGGAACUGCAUCUGAUACUGGCAAGCUUGAGUCUCGUAGAGGGGGGUAGAAUUCCAGGUGUAGCGGUGAAAUGCGUAGAGAUCUGGAGGAAUACCGGUGGCGAAGGCGGCCCCCUGGACGAAGACUGACGCUCAGGUG
rnacentral:rRNA from 1 species